GACGAACGCUGGCGGCGUGCUAAACACAUGCAAGUCGAACGGAAAGGCCCUGCUUUUGUGGGGUGCUCGAGUGGCGAACGGGUGAGUAACACGUGAGUAACCUGCCCUUGACUUUGGGAUAACUUCAGGAAACUGGGGCUAAUACCGGAUAGGAGCUCCUGCUGCAUGGUGGGGGUUGGAAAGUUUCGGCGGUUGGGGAUGGACUCGCGGCUUAUCAGCUUGUUGGUGGGGUAGUGGCUUACCAAGGCUUUGACGGGUAGCCGGCCUGAGAGGGUGACCGGCCACAUUGGGACUGAGAUACGGCCCAGACUCCUACGGGAGGCAGCAGUGGAGAAUAUUGCACAAUGGGCGGAAGCCUGAUGCAGCAACGCCGCGUGCGGGAUGACGGCCUUCGGGUUGUAAACCGCUUUCGCCUGUGACGAAGCGUGAGUGACGGUAAUGGGUAAAGAAGCACCGGCUAACUACGUG
rnacentral:rRNA from 1 species